ACUGUGGCGGCCGGCGACCGGCGGGCCGCUGUCGGCGGGCCGCCCGUGGGUCCGGCGCGCACGGCCACCUUUUCGGCGUGGUUUCGCGACCUGGCCGCCCACGAACGCAUUCCGCUCGACAUUGCUAGCGCGGCGUCGGCCAUGCUCUGCGCACUCCCCGAGCCCUACUAUGCUCGACACCAUCAGCGACGCGCCGCUGUCGGCUGUGUGCGCAUCGCCUUCAAGUGGGUCUUUGACGGAUUUCGCGCCGACAAGGGCUGCCGCGGUCUCGACCUCUACUUGGAGCCGACGCAAGAGUCGUGGAUCCAGCACGAGGUCGACAUCCUGUCGCACCUGGGCUGGGAGAUUGGGCGCUUCUUUGCGCCAGUGGGCCUGCCGACCGCACUCGCCACACCGCGGCCCCUCUUGGCCGCCGUGGCACCGCACCGCACUUUGAAAGGCGCCGCGCGCGACCACGCCCGCCCGCUCAACAAUAAUGGCACGGACGAUGCCAACAAUCACAACAGCAAUAUCAACAAUGCCGAUGACGAUGCCAAUGCCAGUAGUAGUGGCAACCGACGUGGUCGUCGCCAUCGGCGCCGGUCACCGGUUCCGAGGUCUGAACCCGAUGGCCCGCCGACGGGUGACCAUGCAACUGUUUCACUUAUUCCUCGACGGCGACGACCGCAGCAGGCGGCCGCGCCAUCCCUCCCACAACGACCAUUGGAGCCCUACCCCGCACUGUCGACUUUGCCCCAGCGAUCACCAACCAAUGCUGGCCAUCGAGCGCCAACGUUUUCAUCCACUUUUGCGGCAUCAACAACAACAACGACAAAAGCAAGGGGCGUAUCGAGCAUGACGCCAACAUCGGCUUUUUAUGAUGACAUGCGGGACGACGUCGACAGACAGCGCGAUCAAAAAGGCAAGGGAGAUCAAGCGCCGGCGCCUGUGGCAAGCAUGCGCGGGGCUGCAGCACCGCCGGCACUUUUUCCGGCUGCGAGGUGCCGCGCCGCGUCGAGCGACUCGGAGCGAUCGGCGCGCAGCCGGUACGCAAACCGCACGUCGGCCGAGGCGCGAUCGAUGGCGCGCGCCAGUGCACGCAAUAUGUCGACGUCGACGGGUUCGGUCCCGCGUGCCGUCACCCAGCCGUUGGCCUUCCACGUGGGCAUGUAGUCGCGUGCCCACACCAUGGCCACCGAGCAGUCGCUGCACACCUCGACCGGACCCACCCACCGGUCGGCGGCGACCGCGCGCACGGCCCGCUCCAUGGCGUACAGGCCCGCGCGACGCUCCGACUGGCGGGCACCCGGCAGGGCCUUGGCCUCGUUGCGCGGGUCGCCCGGUCCCCAGUAGACGCCGUAGCGAAAGGCGCCGACGCCAACACGCGGCGCCACGGUGACAUAGACGCGCAGGGGCACGUUGGUGCCCGGCGCCGUCAGCGUGCCGCGCCCGCCCUCUACGUAGGCGCGCGCCGACUCGGGGUCGUCAAAGCGCCGGUAGGCCGCACCAGGGUGGCCGGCCACCGACGCACGCGCUUCGUCCCACGACUCGAAUACACCCACCUGGCGGCCGGCGCGCACGGCGUACCACCGGCGCUUUGUGCGCGUCUGUCUCGUGCCCGCUGUCGCCAUCCGCCCGCACUGUUUUUCCUCGCUGCACCCUAGAAAAAAAAAUCCUGCGCCCAUGCACACACCCCAACAACACCGACACAAUGGCGCCCGACCAUAGGCUCUGCUUUUUUUCGUUGAUGGCGACUGUGUCCCCGACAACAAUGCCUUUUCUUUUUUUUUCCCAUUGUUGGCGUCUGUUGUCUUUUUUUUUUGAAAAACAAAAGAAAAAGAA
rnacentral:lncRNA from 1 species